rnacentral:misc_RNA from 1 species
UUAAGUUCAGCGGGUAGUCCCACCCGAUUUGAGGUCAAAUUGUCAAAGGUUGUCCUAGGACGAUUGGAAGCACAGAGCCCAUCAACGCAGACGUGUCCCAGAGGGAGCUUGUAUCAGUGAAGAUGCUUAUCACACUGACAACGCUGCAAAGCAGGGUGCACUCAUGCAUUUAAGACCAGUCAUUGUUACAUGACAGGGCC